rnacentral:rRNA from 1 species
UACGAAGGGGGCUAGCGUUGUUCGGAAUCACUGGGCGUAAAGCGCACGUAGGCGGACGUUUAAGUCAGGGGUGAAAUCCCAGGGCUCAACCCUGGAACUGCCCUUGAUACUGGACGUCUCGAGUCCGGGAGAGGUGAGUGGAACUCCGAGUGUAGAGGUGAAAUUCGUAGAUAUUCGGAAGAACACCAGUGGCGAAGGCGGCUCACUGGCCCGGUACUGACGCUCAGACGCGAAAGCGUGGGGAGCAAACAGG